UUUGUCUGAAGCUCGCGUCUUUUCCUUUUCUGUUCAGCAGUUCAUACCUAACGUUUCGUUGUUUAGUUCAGCAUUAUUUGCCGCCAUUUGCAUUUUGCACAUAGCAAGAACGACGGUUUUUUAAGAGUUAGAGUAUAAAAGUGUACUUAAUUAAGCUUUUUACAACCAGUUGAAGCAAGUAUGGAGUAAUUACUAGGUAACAGAUUGGAGACUUUCUAGUGAAACCGUGCAGAUAUUUUUAGAUUAACUUGGACUUUGAAAGAACUUUCUCAAACAGCGAUAUUGGCAUUUUGGAACAAUUUGGAAUAAUCGUAAUAUCCAAUGUAAAUGUAUUUAUGUACAUAUGUAAAUAAAGGUAUAUAAUUAUAUACUAUAAAUAUAUAUUCUUAUCACUAUGAA